GGUCUGGCUGACCGGUCCGCCUCACCGCGUGUACUGGAUUGGCCGGAUCUUUCCUUCUGGGGAACCGCAUGGACUUCACUGUCUGUGUUGGGGAACCAGGACUUUUACUUUGAAAAAAUUAGAGUGUUCAAAGCAGGCCUUUGCUCGAAUACAUUAGCAUGGAAUAAUAAAAUAGGACGG
rnacentral:rRNA from 1 species